GGGGCGGGAGCGGAGAACUUUCUAGAGAAGCGGUUAAACGGGUUGGGGCUCUUGGGCCGAGGGCACCCGAGGGUGGUGGUGGUUGUUUUUUUUUUUUUUGGUGGUAAGAUUUGUUUUUCUGGUGGAUGUUUCCUGGGGGCGGCCUCCUCUCCCGCUCCGGGACCUCUCGGAUUUCAGUGAUCAAACCCUUCCCCACGUCCUCCUCCCCACCCCCACCCCCCGGAGUCGAGCCGAUUUUUCCAGAUCCUUCUCCAUCCUCAGGACUCCCAAGUCUGGGCCUGCCUGCCGGCCUGCCGGCCCGCCCCGUUCACCCAGCCCCGCAGCGUCGUAUCUGGAGCCGGAGCCAGGCAGCCAGAUGUGAAGAGGCAAGGGCCGUCCCCCUGCGAUGGGACCCCAGGCACCCGUGGCGUGGGCACCUAAGCGAUGUGGGGACUAGAGGCCGAGGGAGCGAAGGCCCGGGGGCACAAAUUGCGGGACACAGCUUUGUCCGCCCCGCAGCCCGGCAGGCCCGCCGGAUGAGUUGCUUUCCAAAAUUCCGUGAGCAGGAGACCUUGUAAGUGGGGGUGGACAGGAAGGAAUUUUUUCAUCGCAACCGCCGCUCCUUAGUGAUACCUGGUGGAGUUGUCGUUCCUGAAACAGCGCUGGCUUGAUCGGAAGGUCUGCCUGGCGAGGUCCUGACUCUGCCCAGCACUGUAGUACCACAGUUACACAUAGCGCCUGAAUGACAGCACAGACGAGAGAGAGACCAUUAAAAACGAAGGAAAAGGAUUCGUCAAUGAAACAGAGAUGGAGGCUAGAAAAGGUGGAACGAAUUUCCCCAGAAUGAAAACAAAAAAUGCAAGGUGCUGAAGAUGAUGAAGAAAGCCUUGAAAGAAGAAGAAUGAUGGGAAAGGCAAAGAGACAGUUGUCAGGUGGGAGAGCCGGCCUGUUCCGCCUCCUGGUGAUGUGACACCGAGUGCUUGUGUUCUCCAGGUGGAAGUCUUUCUUCAGUCAGCAUACAGAGUAAUGGGUUUCAGUAUGGCCUUUCAUAUGUAGAUGUCACUGUCCUUUGUUCUUAUGCGUACUGCUCUCUCCCACCUCUCUCCCUGUUCUCUUUGCCCUCUUCCUUUUCCCAAAUGGUUUCCCUUUCUGCUCUCAUCUUCUAUAUACACACAUGUAUACAUUUAGAUUCCACACACGAGAGAAAAUGUAGUAUUUGUUCAAGUCUGGCUUAUUUUGCUUAGCAUAAUCUUCAGCUCUAGCCAUCUUCCUGUAUAGCUGAAUACCAUUUCACUGUGCUUACGUAUCACAUUUUUAAGUGCUCCUGUUGCUGGACCCCUUGGCUACUCUACCGUUUAGGGGUUCUGAAGAGUGCAGCAGUGAGCUCGCACUCCUUCGUUAGAUUUAGCAUUCCCUUCGUAAGGUUUAGCAUCCCCUUUGUUGGAUUUAGCAUCCCCUUUGUUGGAUUUAGCAUCCCCUUCAUUGUUUUGCUGCUACUUUAAAUGUCUUCAAAGAUUUUCUGUUUACUGCUGGUACAGAAAAUGCAUUUUUGUGUUGGAGAGGUGUUUCAGCUGUUAAAGACUAGGCUCAGAACCAAAAUGUCAAAAUGCAUUUUUAUUUUAUGCAAAAUUUUCAUAACAAAACUUGCUGUGUAACCAUUAUUACUAUUUUUAUGUUUUGGAAGUGAGAUCUCACCAUGUAUCCCAGAGUGGCCUCAGACUUAAAAUCCUUAUGUCUCUGCCUUCCAAAUGCUUGGCUUAAGUUCUGUACUACCAUGUCUGGCCAUUUUUUUUUUUUUUUUACCAUUCCCAAGUAGACAGUUCAGUGGCAUUAAAUACAAGGUUUUACAACCGUACUUUUUUUUUUUUUUUUUUUUUUUUGGGUUUUCGAGACAGGGUUUCUCUGUGUAGCUUUGUGCCUCUCCUGGGACUCACUUGGUAGCCCAGGCUGGCCUCAAACUCACGGAGAUCCGCCUGGCUCUGCCUCCCGAGUGCUGGGAUUAAAGGCGUGCGCCACCACCGCCCAGCAGCCGUACUGUUUUUUUAAAACAGAGUCUUGUAUAGCCCAGGCUCGCCUUGAAAUUUUGGUGUGGUCAAGGGUGACCUUGAACUUCUGGUUCCUCUGCUUCUACCUCCCAACUUCUGGGAUUACAGGUGUGCACCACCAUACCUGGCUUCUUAUUGUUUUGCCAUAGGGUCUUGUUGGUCUCAGGCUCAUGGCUCUUUCCCCCUGAAUGAUGGUAUUAUAAGCACCCUUUACCACAAUUCUUGUUUUAAGCAACAUGCUUGUGGUAAUUUGUUGUAUCUGUUGUACGUAUAGCAUUCAGGGUUUAGCAAAGGACAUGGACUGAGUUAUUGAGACUCUCAGUUCGUGUUGUUUUAGUCUACCAUAUUGUUUGCAGUGUCCUGGGGACAACAGGAGAUAGCCACCCUAGGGUGUACCUGAGCAUCUGUGCACAUCAGUGGGUGAGGCUUAGAUGGGUAAACUGCUGUUUAAGAGUUGAAGGUGAGAAUUAUGAGGCGGAGUCUGGUAGAUGCUGGGAGCUGAGAAACUGGCCUCUGAGGCAUGUAAGUUGUAUCACAUGGCUGGAUGGAGAGGAAAGAACACUGAGGAAGACAACUCUCUUCAGCUCCUUCUCCUCAGGCAAACAUGCUGUGUGUGCUAUUUGUUAUGGGAGAAUGGUCCCACCUAGUUCCAUGAGCCAAGCUGAUUCUGUCAAUGAGGAGUGGGAGUCUGGGAAGGCAAGGCCACCUUCUCCUUGGACUCUGUGGCUCAUUUGAUUGCUUAGCAUGUCCCAUCCCUUCGACCACCUGGUGCUGGCUCAUUGAUAUUGUAGGAAGAUGGUGUGAGUAGGCUUGUUCUUAGUCUUAUUAAUAUUCUACCUUGUUAUUCUGUAUCCUAAAAAGGCAGAGACCUAGUUGGAAGUGAGGUUGGGGGCAGGACAGUAGCACAAGGUUCCAGAAUACAUUGUUGUGUGGAACCUGGGACAGUAUAGAGUUGUCCUCUGUACCACUCCUGCCCUGGUAGCACAGUACUCAAUAGCGGGAUUGUGGGCUGGGUGCCUACCCAUGUCCCUUUGCUUCAGGAUCUCUGACUGAGGCUUCAGGUCUGGGACUCCAGGAUGCCUCCAGACCGGUGGGUAGUGAUUUUUCUGUUUUCUUUCCUUCCUCAAAAUCAGUGUCUUCCAGGAAGACCUCCCUGAUUGCUCCACCCCACCAUGAGCUCUUUUCUCUGCUGCAUAUGUCUGGUGUUCUGUGAUGGUCAUUACAGUUCAGUUUAUCAUGGGGCCGGUUCUCACAUGUUCUUCACUUGUCACAGAGUUAUGGGUCGGGUGCAUGUCCUGCUUUCAAAUAAGACUACCAACUUCCUGGGCUCAACCAAGAUGACUGGAGCUUUGGAAGCCCAGAAACAGCUGCUAUCAGGAACAGGUUUUCUGUCUACUAGGGUGGAUUUCUGCUGGUAAGGUGGCCAUACGCAGGCACUUGUCUCUUCAGCAUACUCUCCUUUCAUUCAUUUAUUCUCUAAGCAAACAUCCCCUUUACUGAGUUCCGUGUGUGAGAGGUGAAGCAUUCUAAGAUGGAUGCUUGGCAGUCUCCCUGUAUUUGCCUUGGGCGCCUCAAUUGCACAUAGCUUUCACUUCCUCUGUGCACUUGGUUUCUGUUAGGUCUCCAACCUGGGACAGAGGGCUCACUGAGAUGCCUAUUAACAUAUCAAAGCAGACACUGGCGGCCAAGUUCUCCCAGCAUCCCUCAGUCCCUACCUGUUAGGGAAUUCUCCUGGCUGCCAUACCCUGCUCACUACCCUGAACUCUCCAGCUCAACUAAUUACUGGGCUGGGCUUCUCUCCUGUUAGCUCCUCUGGCCCCUAUAUAACUGGCCAAUUUUAGCAGCAUGUGUCUCUUGGCCAGUUUCUUAACCCAGGCCGCCCUUUUUGGUCAGAGGCUCUUCUUUUUGCUCUCCCUCCUCCUCACAUGGCCCAGCUCAGUCUGGCCACGUUCACUCGGGACUCUUCCAGAUGUCUCCAUCUCUACCUGCUUUCUCCCAUGUAUAUAUAAUACAAACCUCAACCCCUUAGGAGCAGUCAUGUCCUCCUUUUAUUUCUUUUUUUCAUUCAGUUCACAGAUAAUGCAUCCAAUCCCAAGCUGCUUCCUAAUCCAUUGUCUGUGUUAGGUGUUAGGCAAAUUUCCAGACAAUUAGAUCUGCUUCUUCUCAUCAAAAGGAAGCACGUGAAAUCACAUGACUUGUUGAAACUGGGGAGGUCCUAAUUGGUAUUUGGAUUUCCACCAAAAGCUAAAAAACCCAGAACACCAAAGACAGGCUAUCCUACCAGAAGGGGCUGAGUUUAAAUAGAAAGGAGCUAGUGGUUUCAGGGUCUUAACCAUGAGCACAAAUCACAGUGUACAGUGACUCCUUCUUAAAGCAGCAGAGACAUAGUAGUGAUGAUGACAGGGUGUAGGGAGGAACACAGGAUAAUCCACAGUCUGCUGUUUAGUGGGGCAGGGUCUUCUUUCAGUUACAGAGCCAACUUGUGACACCCUAAACACAGAAAUAGUGAGCUGACCAAACUGGGCCGCCAACUGCUCAUCCCAACUUGUCUUCAGCAGUUGCCCCAGUCACUGUGGCACAAGCCAAGGGAGAACCCAGAUAUUCCUAAAUGGCUUUCAGAUUGCUAAACAGAUGCCAGUCUUUAGUCCAAAGGUGGGUAAUGUGCAAGCUGGCGGGUAGAGGAGGAUGGGUAAGGGUUGAAUCUAGAAGGGCAGAGUGAUGUUCUCUAGUCCACCUAAUUUUUGAGUUAGUUGCUUAGUGUGAUAGGUUUCUCCUUUCACAUUUGUCUUAAAAAUAUAUUCAAUGAUUUGUUUCAAACAAAAGGAAAAUCAGUCUUUCUCUCCCAUUGCCCUUUUUCUUCUUUGAAAGAAGUUUCCAAAUCUUUCUGGAAAGCUUAAAUCCUAGCAUUGGAGUAACCAAAUUUGGGUUUGUAGCUCUUAGGAGGUUGACACUAAUCUGUGACAGUCACAACUUAGUUGUUAACAGUCACAUGACAACGGUAUGUUUUUGUUGUAUGAAAGCCUUUAUAAGAACAGAAAGAAGUCUCCUGGAGUCUGUGGUCAGUUAGCUUAGAACCUGCGGGAAGUAUGCAGACAGUAGCUGGUGAUCCUGGCAACGCCAUCUGAUAAGAACAGUGAAUGUGUAGGUCUACCCUGAAAGGAAAGACUGCGAGGGGCAUGUGGCUCCACCCAAGGAGGAGCACACCUAGUUCAUCUUGGAGGAAGAAAAUGUCUUCUUCAUUCUCCGUGUUGCAGUAAUCAGACCCAGCGUCUGUCUGGGAUGAUAACGUGUAUAAUGGUGAACUCAUCCCUCGUCAGUUUCCCACAGAGUGCUCCACAUGUUUCUAUGUCACGGGCAGGGUUAGCAUUGGUGAACUGGGGAAACUUGGCAGAGCUUCAAGGUACGGUACAUGCAGUGUGGUCCACUGAUGAUGGGAACAUUUCUGUGUCGCUCAGCACUCCAGGUCUUAAACACUUGUCUACCACUGGUAACCUAGCUCGCCUUAUGGCUGUGUUACAGUCUGAAGCCUGUGGAUAACACCCAGGUUGUGAAGGCUUAUCCAGGGCUUUUCUAAGUCAGGCCCCAGCAGCCCUCUGGGUCUAGAUCUAUCUUGCUAAGCUCUUGCACAAUUUUUAGUCCCUCUUUUUCCAGCUCCUGCUUCUGGGUCAUCUCCUCAAAGGCAUGGAACUGUUUCUGUUCUAACUGAUGCAGCUUUUGCUCUUUGCCCAGCUCUUGCUGGGUGGCCGUGUUCUGGGAAAAUUCUAACUCUUCCUUCUUCUCUUUAUAUUUUUCACAUUCUUUGGUGUGUGUAUCCAAACUGUUUCUGGUUCUUCUGCCUGGAGAAAAGCAAGUUCUUUAAUUUCUUUACUGUGUCUUCUCAGGAAUGACAACUGCUUUGUCAUCCCACUACCUGGGGACUUGUCUAUGAAGGACUUGAUGUACUUACUAUAGAGGAUAAAGGCAUGUUCAAUGUUGCUUUCUUCAGAGUAAACGGAUGCCAUGUAGAUGACUUGAACUCCAGAGUGGAAGUACUGACAGGGUGCAAUAUUGAAUUGCACUGUAUUCUCAAGCUUCGCCCUGUCUUUGGGUGGAAGGGUGAUAUUUCCAUGGUCAGGCAUCAGGACCAAAAGCUUCUGAUUCAGAUUUCUGCCUUCAGAAUACAGCCACAUCAGAAGAGUCUGUUGUUUCAAGUUCCAUUGUGUUUGAAGCCAAGUCUCUCCUGACACAGAUUCUGUCAACAGCAGAAACCAUACAGUAUAGAUCCAUACAGUAAUAUGGUGUGUCAGGGUUGCUGAAGCUGAAUAGCAUGUGUGUCCAAUAUGAGGUCUGGUCACUCACUGGUCACGUGGGAUGAUCCAAAUUUGUUUAUGGACAACUACAUGGAAACUCCAAAGUUCUAACAGAUGCUGAUAGGUUUGGAGGGAGAAUGAUGUCGUAAAGCAGGCAGUAGCCAAUAGGAAGGUCAGAUUCCUAGCCAGAAAAUGGGUUGGGUGGACAGAAUGGCAGGAGAGCUACAGCUCCCCUGAAUGGCUGGGUCUAGGCAGGUGAAAGCCUGCAAGGCAGUUACGACAAUCCCUCUUUCCUCUCUUUUUAGGUUAGGGAAAUCAUCUCUGUGUUUCUUAUACGUAUUCAUUAACAAAGUUACUUAUAAUUUGCAGGUGAUAUUUUCAUGUGGUUCCCCACACGGGGCCAGAUCAUGGUCACAAGGAGCAAGACAGCCCUGGGAACAAAUUGCCAAGUGUGAGUGAGGUGCUAAGGCAGGAGGCCCUUCAGAAGACUGAUGUCUUGAGGAGAGAUGGGAAAGGAGGUACUUGAACUGAGUCUUGGAAGAUGAUAGGUGUUUCUUAGUGCACAAAGCUAGGAAGGGCAUCCAAGGCAGGCCGGAGCACAGCACUACAACAUGUUUGGCUAUUUAAAGAAAUAGGAAAUUUAUCCUGCGCCAAAGUUCUUCCCUUUAUCCCACUUCAAAGUUCUCUCUUUUGAAGUGGACUGUCUAUUUUCAGUAUUAAAGUCUUUUUUAUUCUUUGGAACCUGAAACUUGAAAAGGAUUCUAUAGGCUUCCUUCCACUUUCUGAUUGGAUUUGAGGCCCACUCCACAGAAAGGAAAUCACUACAAUAUACUACAAACGUCAUCAAAAGUCCAAGGCAGAGAAGGUCAUAGACAUGAAUUGGGGGAGUUACUUCUGAUGUUUGAAUAUGAUGUGCCCAUCAAAUGCUUUUCAUGUGUUUGUGUUCAUGUCCAUAGAUCAGUGCUGCUGUUUGCUUUUGUCAGAGAAGCAUCUCUUUGCUCUGGGCAGCAGUUAGUGAAGAGGCUCACACAUACCUGGUCAAGAAUCAGAGACUCUUUGGGAUGCUCAGCCCUAAAUGGGGCAUUUGUAUCACCCCCUCCAAGGCUCAGGGAACUUUGCGGAAGAGGGGCCGGAAAGAAUGUAAGAGCCAGAGGAAGGGGUGGAGUGAUGGAGAGUACUGUCUUCCAGGCCUGACGCGGCUGGUGUCCUCUCUGACUUCCAGCAGCUCUGAUUACCUGUACAAAACCUGCAUAAGAUUUAGCCCACCAACAUUCUGUCAUGGAGCAGGGAGCAGCUGAUGAGGCCCUGCCAGUCCCUGAGGACAUAUAGGCAGUUAAGGGUUGCUAGGGGAGAGGGUCUCAAAAGGCACUGCCUUUCCCUGAGGAUCUGUGGGCAGUUAGUGGGACCCUUGCUCUAGUGGUAUAGCUAUUGGUGAGUUGUCCUGCUCCUGUAAUAACCCUAAUUGAGCUCAUUGAUUGACCAAGGGAAAGAAGGAGGAGCACUGGUUGAAAAGAGGAAGAUGAUCAGUAGGAGAGAGAGGGUUCAUGGGGGUGAAUGUAGUCAAAAGUAUGUUGUAUACAUGAAUGAAAAUGUCCAAGUGAAACCUACUGUUUUGUUAUUAGCAUAUUAAUAUAUGUUAAUAAAAAUGAAACUAAAACAACAACCAAGCAAACAACCUGGCCUACUAAGAAGAUGCCCAGAUGGGGUUUAAUCGGAGGAGGAUUCAACAUCAGAGGAGACUGUUAAAAUAAUAGGACAAGUUGACUAGGGAUGUAGCUCAGUGAGGGAAUGUUUAUCUAGCGUGGACAAAGCCCUGAAAUCAGUCCUCAGAACUGCUAGAUACUGCUUUAAAUGGCAGAUGUAACAUGUUUCAUCUCGACUGGAAUGUAGCCCAAAGUCCUUGGAAGGACACAAGAACUAUCUACUACACCAUUUGGAUGUUACUUUUUUGAUGGAUCUCCUUCCUUUUUGUCUGCAUUCAUAUAUGUGUCUAUGUAUGCAUUCACACCAAGAUGUAUGUGUAGUAUACAUAUAUUCUGGCUCUAUGACUGUGUAUAUAUACACAUAUAUUCACAUGUGGCCAAGGUAUAUAAAAUUAUAUACAUGUCUCUUGUAGUUUUUUCUUAUUUUUUAAAUGUAUGUAUUUAUUUUUACUUUUUACUCUUUUGUUUGUUUUUCCAGACAGGGUUUCUCUGUGUAGCUCUGACUGUCCUGGAACUCACUCUAUAGACCAGGCUGGCCUUGAAUUCAGAGAUCUGCCUACCUCUGCCUCCUGAGUGCUGGGAUUAAAGACGUAUGCCACCACCACCUGGCUUAUUUUUACUUUGAAAAAAAAUGUGUGUUUAUGACUGUUUUACCUGCAUGGGUGUCUCUGCACCACAUGUGUGCAGUGCCUGCAGAAGCCAGAAGAGGGCAUUGCAGAGCUUGGAAUUGAAAUUGUAAAUGCUUGUGAGCCACAUGUGGGUGCUGAGAAUCGACUCCAGUCCUCUAUAAGAGCAGAUGGUGCUCUUACCCACCGAGCCAUCAUCUCUGUGCCCUGUAUGUGUUCUUUAUUAACACACAAUUAUGAGAUGAAUUUGAAAUAAGUAACUUAAUUAACCAACUCAGUAUUUUCCAAAAUGAAAAGCAAGAACUACAUCACAAGUCUGAAAUCCGAAGGAACAAUGACAGCACGACCAACUCUGGUAGGUAUCACUCCAGAUUCAGAACACUGUGCCAGGACCUGAGUUUGGAGGUCAAGGGUUCUCUUUAAAUGAAACAUCUGCUGAGUCCCAAACUGUUAGACUUGCAGCAGCAGCAGACCCAGGAACAGGGCUCUCAGUUUUCUCAGAAUGCUGGGGCUUGGCUUCAUCUUGCCUCUUAGACUUCAGGUAUUUGUGUAUGUGGUAGUUUAAAUGAGAUGUCCACUAUAGUCUUGGCAUCUGAUGCUUGGUCCCCAGCUGGUGGCACUGCUUGGGUAGGUUGAGGAGGUGUGGCCUUAUUGGAGGAAGUCUGUGACUGGGAGGGGCCUUCUGAGCUUUGUGCUUGUGGUUCAAGAUAUGAGCCUGCAGCUCCCUGCUCUGGCCACCAUGUCUUAGCUCAACCAUCAUGGACUCUGACCCUUUGGAACUGUAAGCCCAAAUAGACUUCCUUCCAUGAGUUGCCUUGAUUGUGGUGUUUGUCACUUGAGUAGAAAGUAACUAGGACAAUGUGAUCAUGAGUUGGCAAUUUUUUUUUUGUCUUUGGUGAUGGUGUGCUCAUAUUUUUGUGAUUCUGUUUUAUUUGAAGCUUGAUGAGGUGUUCUUCAGAGAGUUAAGAUAGCAGAAUUGUAAAUGUGAAUUCCUGUGGCCUUACAAAUGGAGCACUGUGAUUUUAUCAAAAGUUUGUAAUAUUUUAGGUGUUUUGCAUGUAUGUAUAUAAAUGCACCAAUUUUUGUGCAAUGACUGAGGAAGCCAGAAAAGGCAUUGAGUUCCCUUGGGACUAGUUACAGGGGGUUGUGAACUGCCAUGUGGGUGCUGGGAAUUGAAUUUGGUCCUUUGAAAGAGCAUCAAGUGUGCUGUUAACCAUUGAGCCAUAUCUCAGGCUCAUAGUAUCAAAAAUUUCUUGAGCUUCUGUGAUUGUCUUUCCUCAAAGAUAUUUCAGUACCAACUGGUCUGUUACUGGAUUUGGGGGUCCUUUAAUGGUCACCAGACAAUACCAGGAAAAUCAGGGUCCCCUUUUAGGGUUCUUUGUUGCAUUAAUAAAAGAGUAGAUUCAAAUUAAUUAAUAAAUAAUUAUUAUAUAAAUAAUUAAAUGAUUCAAAUUAAUAAAAGAGUGGAUUCAAAUGUGAACUUAGGACACUUUUACUAGAGUUUAAAAGAAAGCCCUCCCAGGGCAGGCAAGCUGUAAGCCCCAGCGGCUGCUCAGAGGUUGAAGGUGGAGGAGAGAAAGAAAAGUCCAUUCCAUGUAAGCCAGCAUGAAGGUCAGAUGUGUGGCAGAGGAGCAGUCACAUGGUGGAAAAAGAGUAAGAAAGCCCACAGUGUUAGGGAAAAGCCCACAGUGUUAGGAAACCAUGCUUAGAAAAGAGAUAGAAGAAAAGGAAAAUUUAUGCUUUCCGAAUAAUUCAGAAAAGUGGGCAGGCUUACUGCUCCAUAUGGCUGCAGCUUGUCCGUAAGCUUCUGAUGACUCUUUUUUCCCCCAUAUUAAUCUGUGUCUGUGAGAGUGUAUGUGUAUGAGUUCACAUGCGAUAGCACACAUAUGGAGGUCAGAGAAUAAUCCACAGGAGACAGUUCUCUUCUACCGUGUGGGAUUCGGGGGAUUGAACCCAGGUUGAUAGAGGCUUGGAAGUGAAUGCUUUUACUUGCUGAGCCAACUUGUUUGUUUUGGGAUGGUCCCAUGUACUUCAGAAUGGACUUUACUUUGCUUGUAGCUAAAGAUGUCUUCUACAUUUCUGAUUCUCCUGCCUCCACCCUUCAAGUGCUGGGAUGAGAGGAUGAACUAGCACACCCAGGUUAUGUGGGGCUGGAGACUGAACCCAGGGCUCUGUGCAUACCAUGCUAGCAUUCUACCAGCUGACGUGCCCCUCCAGUUCUCAUUUAUUCUUUAAAUACAUGAUGUAGCAUCACUAUUCUUUCAUGUUAUUAAAUAUUAUUUUAAAAAAUGUUUUUUUUUGGCUGCACAAUGUCUUAUAUAUCUGAACUAUUAUUAAGCAUUUAUGUAUUGUUAAAAGUAUUUUGAACUUUUUCUAUAUACAAAUUCCUCAAUAAGCACUGAUGCAUGUAAAUGCUAUUUUCAUUUCUGGUUAAACAUAAAUAAAUGUUUUUAAAAGUUA